rnacentral:lncRNA from 1 species
AAUGAAUUGAAAAUACAUCUCUAAAACAGUAUCAAUUGGGGAACAGUGUGAAGAAAGACAAGGUUAGAUUCAAGCUGAAUACUUUAAGAAAUAGCCAAAAUGUCUGAAAGUACUAACCUAAUCUCCUCAGGGGAAACUGUAAAUGAAGACCUGUCACUUGACUCAUUUAUAAUUAGAAUCAGUAAUAUUCUGGAUGACAUUGAAGAGAACAAUCAUAUAUUGGCAGGAAAGAAUGAGAUGAUAACCUAAAGGUCACUUUCAUUUCUCUUGUCUAUUGUAAUUGAGUCUUUGUGAUAGAGAAUUCAGGGGGAGAAAAAUAGAGACAAUUGCACCUUUGGCACGGAGACCAAAUGCCCGUACAGAAUAAAUCACACAAGUGCUUCUAAGAAGCAGAGUUCACAAAGCAGAGUUUUAUGACAGAAACCUUAUAUAACCUGCAUGUGAUGAGAACAAAGCACAACAAAAUAUAACCACAAUAAAAACAAUUUUUUUUUUACACAUGAGAGUCCUAGCUCAGUGGAACAGUUUUGCAAUAAGUUCAGCUCUGAAAAACAUUUGGUC